UUUGUCCGAUCCUACAUCCUAUACCUAUUCAGUUGAUAGAGAAACCAUUGAAUCACUAAAAAUUAUGGUUUCUAAAAUCACUGAAGAGUUUGCUGAACAGAGAGAGAGGGCACAGAAGAAGUGGGAGGAAACAACAUCACAAAUCAAGAUGUUGCAGAAAUGAGUUCAGUUUUUUUAUUCAGACUGCAGGGAUUAUUCCUCCAUGUCCUGGGGAUACAAUUUAGGCUACAUAAGGUCUAGGCCUACAAUUUAGGCUACAAAAGGUCUAGGCCUACUGAUGAUAUCAGUAUAGAUAAAGAUGCAGAAGACAAAGAAGAUGACGAUGAAGAUGAGUGGUAGUUUUUUUACUUUUGUAUGUUUUGUACUUUGGAUUUGGAUAUUUUGUUGUAGUUUUUAUACUUUUGUAUGUUUUGUUGUACUUUUCACACUUUUACACUUUUGUUGGACAUUUUGUAUGUGUUGUAGUGAAAUUUUGUAUGUUGUGUAGGAAUACACUUG
rnacentral:lncRNA from 1 species